rnacentral:lncRNA from 1 species
CUAGGAGCUGUGGAUGGUUUCAGGGGAGGUGGGGAGGGGCAGAUGUGACCUGUGGCCAGGACACUGCGCGUAACGCUUCUUUGCUUUGGCAGGUUGAAGGGAAGCCAGUGUGACUCGGAGGUGUGGCCAGACAGCAGCGAUGACCGGGACUCACUGUCCCAGAAGGGACUUUAUCGGGAAGCGAGAGCCAGAGGCACAGCCACCGGUCUUCGUACCGUGUCCCCUGUAAGUGGUUCUUGGGGUGGGUGAUGUGAGGCUCUCUGGCCCUGCCGCUUGACCCCGCUGGUGGGUUCUCCUUCCCUGGUCUGCCCUCCUGUAACCCCAGUGGGGGCCGGGGGUGGGCAGCAUUCUGCAGGGCUCUCCUGCAGCCAGCUCUUUUCUCCCGUUUGUUCCAGCAGGCGCGUCACCGGGGAGGCUGAGGUGCAGCAACUCGAAUUGCUCUCGGAGGACAGGUGUGUGGCGGCAGGCACCGCACCGCAGCCAGGACGCCCCCCUCAACAGGAGCAGGACACGGAAGUCGGAUUUGAAUAAAGGGCUGGUGUGUCCACACAAAUC